GAUGAACGCUGGCGGCGUGCCUAAUACAUGCAAGUCGAGCGAACGGACGAGAAGCUUGCUUUUCUGAUGUUAGCGGCGGACGGGAGAGUAAAACGUGGAUAACCUACCUAUAAGACUGGGAUAACUUCGGGAAACCGGAGCUAAUACCGGAUAAUAUUUUGAACCGCAUGGUUCAAAAGUGAAAGACGGUCUUGCUGUCACUUAUAGAUGGAUCCGCGCUGCAUUAGCUAGUUGGUAAGGUAACGGCUUACCAAGGCAACGAUGCAUAGCCGACCUGAGAGGGUGAUCGGCCACACUGGAACUGAGACACGGUCCAGACUCCUACGAGAGGCAGCAGUAGGGAAUCUGCCGCAAUGGGCGAAAGCCUGACGGAGCAACGCCGCGUGAGUGAUGAAGGUCUUCGGAGCGUAAAACUCUGUUAUGAGUGAUGAACAUAUGUGUAAGUAACUGUGCACAUCUUGACGGUACCUAAUCAGAAAGCCACGGCUAACUACGUG
rnacentral:rRNA from 1 species